CCUACGGGAGGCAGCAGUAGGGAAUAUUGCUCAAUGGGGGAAACCCUGACGCAGCAACGCCGCGUGGAGGAUGAAGGUUUUCGGAUUGUAAACUUCUUUUGUUAGAGAAGAUAAUGAAGUUUUCUAAUGAAUAAGCAACGGCUAACUCCGUGCCAGCAGCCGCGGUAAUACGGAGGGCGCAAGCGUUCCGCGGUAUCACUGGGCGUAAAGAGCGCGUAGGGGGGAUAGCAAGUCAGAGGUGAAAUCCACUGGCUUAACCAUAGAACUGCAUUUGAAACUGUUAUUCUAGAGUUUGGGAGAGGUAGGUGGAAUUCUAGGUGUAGGGGUAAAAUCCGUAGAGAUCAGGAGGAAUACUAGUUGCGAAGGCGACCUGCUAGGACAUAACUGACGCUGAGGCGCGAAAGCGUGGGGAGCAAACAGGAUUAGAUACCCCUGUAGUC
rnacentral:rRNA from 1 species